UUUGCGCGGCUCAGAAGCUCCUGCUUGCAACCCUCCGCACAUCACACGAAUUGGGUCACAAAAGAAAAAAAGAAAAAAAGAAAAAAAACGAAGUUUGGAAGAGACCCACUCACGAUUUGGAGCCUCUCCAUCUCUGCAUUGUAGAUGAACCAAGCUGUUGGAAGUUGUGCAGCAACCUGCUCACAAGAAUUCAUUUGGCGAUCCAUGUCUGCUUGCCAAUCCUUCAUACAGAACAACCCAAUGCUGAAGUAAGAAGCUGCACUUUAAACUUCUACUUCUGCUCGGUAAACUGUUGCAAAAUUCUGGGUUGAUCUGAAGACCGAGAGGAUUGUUAUUGUAUUAGAAUGCGAGGGAGUUGACCUACUUCUUUCAGUUUCUUCACAUGGCUGAGAAGCUCGGAUUGGGACUCUUUCAAACCCUGCAACACUAUGUCCUGCACCGAUAACAGGUCGAUGAAGGUCGCACGAGAUGAUCGGCAUAGUUCGAAAUGGCCAAGUUCUAGGUUCUUUCACUACAAAUCUGUUAAUAUUACCGUGUAACACAAAAAUACAAGUAAAAGAGUCCAAAACUAAACAAACACAAUCUAUCGGGAUGUUUGACGAGAUAGAGAUGAAUCGAGGAUGGUGUGUACUGCUCGGUCCCAUGUGCUCGUGAUUAGGUUUUCCAGCGAGCAGUUGCUCAGGUUAAGAUCCUAGCAAAACAAUAAUUCAGUAGACAUCGCGGCAUUAGCUUCAUAAAAUCUCAUAAUUAAAUGAGAGUAGCCCAUCUUUAAUGCUACUCCCAUGUCACAUGAAAAUAUUUUCCUUCGCAGGAUUUUGAAAUUGAGAAUUCUUUGUUGUAAAGAGAAUGCGAUGACUGUCAAAUCUUGGUGACAAUUGAGCAAUAAAUGAUCUAAAUUUUACA